GACGACCGCUGGCGACGUGCUUAACACAUGCAAGUCGAACGGAAAGGCCCUGCUUUUGUGGGGUGCUCGAGUGGCGAACGGGUGAGUAACACGUGAGUAACCUGCCCUUGACUUUGGGAUAACUUCAGGAAACUGGGGCUAAUACCGGAUAGGAGCUCCUGCUGCAUGGUGGGGGUUGGAAAGUUUCGGCGGUUGGGGAUGGACUCGCGGCUUAUCAGCUUGUUGGUGGGGUAGUGGCUUACCAAGGCUUUGACGGGUAGCCGGCCUGAGAGGGUGACCGGCCACAUUGGGACUGAGAUACGGCCCAGACUCCUACGGGAGGCAGCAGUGGGGAAUAUUGCACAAUGGGCGGAAGCCUGAUGCAGCAACGCCGCGUGCGGGAUGACGGCCUUCGGGUUGUAAACCGCUUUCGCCUGUGACGAAGCGUGAGUGACGGUAAUGGGUAAAGAAGCACCGGCUAACUACGUG
rnacentral:rRNA from 1 species